rnacentral:rRNA from 1 species
UACGUAGGCAGCGAGCGUUGUUCGGAGUUAUUGGGCGUAAAGAGCUCGUAGGCGGUUUGUCGCGUCUGCUGUGAAAACUCGGGGCUUAACUCCGGGCCUGCAGUGGGUACGGGCAGACUAGAGUGCGGUAGGGGAGACUGGAAUUCCUGGUGUAGCGGUGAAAUGCGUAGAUAUGUGGAGGAACACCGAUGGCGAAGGCAGCCCCCUGGGCUAACACUGACGCUCAUGCACGAAAGCGUGGGGAGCAAACAGG